CUAGAGACGCUGGCGGCGUGCCUAAUACAUGCAAGUCGAACGCACUGACGUCGACCGAAGCUGCUUGCAGUGGACGUUGAUUGACGUGAGUGGCGGACGGGUGAGUAACACGUGGGUAACCUACCCUUAAGUGGGGGAUAACAUUUGGAAACAGAUGCUAAUACCGCAUAACCAUUCAGACCACAUGGUCUGAAUGUAAAAGACGGCCUUUGGCUGUCACUUUUGGACGGACCCGCGGCGUAUUAGUUAGUUGGUAAGGUAACGGCUUACCAAGACAAUGAUACGUAGCCGACCUGAGAGGGUAAUCGGCCACAUUGGGACUGAGACACGGCCCAAACUCCUACGGGAGGCAGCAGUAGGGAAUCUUCCACAAUGGACGAAAGUCUGAUGGAGCAACGCCGCGUGAGUGAAGAAGGUUUUUAGGAUCGUAAAACUCUGUUUGUUGGAGAAGAACAGGGACUAGAGUAACUGUUAGUCCUUUGACGGUAUCCAACCAGAAAGCCACGGCUAACUACGUGCCAGCAGCCGCGGUAAUACGUAGGUGGCAAGCGUUGUCCGGAUUUAUUGGGCGUAAAGCGAGCGCAGGCGGUUUUUUAAGUCUGAUGUGAAAGCCUUCGGCUUAACCGAAGAAGUGCAUUAGAAACUGGGAAACUUGAGUGCAGAAGAGGACAGUGGAACUCCAUGUGUAGCGGUGAAAUGCGUAGAUAUAUGGAAGAACACCAGUGGCGAAGGCGGCUGUCUGGUCUGUAACUGACGCUGAGGCUCGAAAGUAUGGGGAGCGAACAGGAUUAGAUACCCUGGUAGUCCAUACCGUAAACGAUGAAUGCUAAGUGUUGGAGGGUUUCCGCCCUUCAGUGCUGCAGCUAACGCAUUAAGCAUUCCGCCUGGGGGAGUACGACCGCAAGGUUGAAACUCAAAGGAAUUGACGGGGGCCCGCACAAGCGGUGGAGCAUGUGGUUUAAUUCGAAGCAACGCGAAGAACCUUACCAGGUCUUGACAUCCUUUGACCACUGUAGAGAUACAGCUUUCCCUUCGGGGACAAAGUGACAGGUGGUGCAUGGUUGUCGUCAGCUCGUGUCGUGAGAUGUUGGGUUAAGUCCCGCAACGAGCGCAACCCUUAUGACUAGUUGCCAGCAUUUAGUUGGGCACUCUAGUAAGACUGCCGGUGACAAACCGGAGGAAGGUGGGGAUGACGUCAAAUCAGCAUGCCCCUUAUGACCUGGGCUACACACGUGCUACAAUGGUCGGUACAACGAGUUGCGAACCCGCGAGGGUAAGCUAAUCUCUUAAAGCCGAUCUCAGUUCGGAUUGUAGGCUGCAACUCGCCUACAUGAAGCCGGAAUCGCUAGUAAUCGCGGAUCAGCACGCCGCGGUGAAUACGUUCCCGGGCCUUGUACACACCGCCCGUCACACCAUGAGAGUUUGUAACACCCGAAGUCGGUGGGGUAACCCUUUUAGGGAACUAGCCGCCUAAGGUGGACAGAUGAU
rnacentral:rRNA from 2 species